UACGGAGGGUGCAAGCGUUAUCCGGAUUCACUGGGUUUAAAGGGUGCGUAGGUGGGUCUGUAAGUCCGUGGUGAAAUCUCCGAGCUUAACUUGGAAACUGCCAUGGAUACUAUAGGUCUUGAAUACUGUGGAGGUCAGCGGAAUAUGUCAUGUAGCGGUGAAAUGCUUAGAUAUGACAUAGAACACCAAUUGCGAAGGCAGCUGGCCACACAAAUAUUGACACUGAUGCACGAAAGCGUGGGGAUCAAACAGG
rnacentral:rRNA from 1 species